rnacentral:sRNA from 1 species
GUUUCAAUUCCUCAUAGGCAGGCUAUCGGCCUGUGUCGUGUUUCACUUGGCCACCUGGCCAUGUUCCGG